rnacentral:rRNA from 1 species
UACGUAGGGACCAAGCGUUGUUCGGAUUUACUGGGCGUAAAGGGCGCGUAGGCGGCGUGACAAGUCACUUGUGAAAUCUCUGGGCUUAACUCAGAACGGCCAAGUGAUACUGUCGCGCUAGAGUGCAGAAAGGGCAAUCGGAAUUCUUGGUGUAGCGGUGGAAUGCGUAGAUAUCAAGAGGAACACCUGAGGCGAAGGCGGGUUGCUAGGCUGACACUGACGCUGAUGCGCGAAAGCCAGGGGAGCAAACGGG